rnacentral:tRNA from 1 species
GCCCUAGUAGCUUAAACCACAAAGCAUUGGUCUUGUAAACCAAAGCUGGGCCCCAACCAGCCCCUAAGGCA